rnacentral:rRNA from 1 species
GAUGAACGCUAGCGACAGGCCUAACACAUGCAAGUCGAGGGGCAUCGGGACGUAGCAAUACGUUGCCGGCGACCGGCGGAUGGGUGAGUAACGCGUAUGCAACCUACCCGUAGCAGGGGGAUAGCCCGUUGAAAGACGGAUUAAUACCCCGUAACAACAGGGGCUCCGCAUGGAGAUUAUUGUUAAAGGGUCAUUUCUUUUAGAGGUGGUCCGGCUGCGGAUGGGCAUGCGUUCCAUUAGGUAGUUGGUGUAGGUAACGGCUCACCAAGCCGACGAUGGAUAGGGGAACUGAGAGGUUGGUCCCCCACACUGGUACUGAGACACGGACCAGACUCCUACGGGAGGCAGCAGUGAGGAAUCUUGGUCAAUGGACGCAAGUCUGAACCAGCCAUGUCGCGUGAAGGAGGACGGCCCUAAGGGUUGUAAACUUCUUUUGCAGCGGAAUAAAGUUUGCCACGAGUUGGCGAUUUGCAAGUACGCUGCGAAUAAGGAUCGGCUAACUCCGUG